rnacentral:rRNA from 1 species
AUUGAACGCUGGCGGCAUGCCUUACACAUGCAAGUCGAACGGCAGCACGGGGCAACCUGGUGGUGAGUGGCGAACGGGUGAGUAAUGCAUCGGAACGUACCUUUCAGUGGGGGAUAACGUAGCGAAAGUUACGCUAAUACCGCAUAUUCUGUGAGCAGGAAAGCAGGGGACCGCAAGACCUUGCGCUGAUUGAGCGGCCGAUGUCAGAUUAGCUAGUUGGUGAGGUAAAGGCUCACCAAGGCGACGAUCUGAAGCGGGUCUGAGAGGAUGAUCCGCCACACUGGAACUGAGACACGGUCCAGACUCCUACGGGAGGCAGCAGUGGGGAAUCUUGGACAAUGGGGGCAACCCUGAUCCAGCCAUGCCGCGUGAGUGAAGAAGGCCUUCGGGUUGUAAAGCUCUUUCGGCCGGGAAGAAAUCGCACGGGCUAAUACCCUGUGUGGAUGACGGUACCGGAAUAAGAAGCACCGGCUAACUACGUGCCAGCAGCCGCAGUAAUAC